GUCAAUAUCAUAAAAAGGGACCACAUAAUAUGACUAAAUGGCAUUAAGAUUUUUAAAUAGAAUGUAUGACCAAAGUAAUAUCCUUUAAAAGCUGGAUAUAUUACUUAAAUUUCCUAUGAUAAAAAUUUCUUGAUUUUUCUCCCCGGAUGAGGAAAUUCAUAAUACAUCUAAUCAUAGAAGGAAAGAAUUGUUGGGAGUUAGAAAGGAUAUUCCAGAAUAAGGGACAUGACAGGAUAAAAACACAUAGUGUGUGUGGCACAGUGAAGAAUCUGCAGAAACCAUGAGUAAUGUGAGGAGAGAACAAAAAGGAGAAUGGAAUCUCAACAAAAGCAAGUGAUAUUUAAGAUGUGAGAAGAAUGUCUCCAGUAUUUUGAUUGGUAUUGCAUUGAAUCUAUAAAUUGCUUUUGGGAGAAUGGACAAUUUGAUGAUAUUGAUUCUUCCAAUCCAUGAGCAUGGAAGAUUUUUCCAUUUUUUGGUAUCCCAGUGGAAAGAACGGAGCCAUCAAAGAAGGAGAACUCCAGGUUCUUGGAGGAGUACAUAAGCUAUAAUAUAAAGUGCAAUGAAUGCCAGAUAAGUUCCUCCUGGCUCUGAUAUUCUUUCUUCUGCCUUCAACAUUAUGCUGAGUGAAAUGGACUUCAAUGCUUCUAGUGGAUUCCUCAGCAGAAACCCCACAUGCAGAGGAAGAGUGGGCCAGUAUACACGAAGUGCUGAAGGAAAAAAUAAAAUAUUUGCCAAACAGAAAUACUUUAUACAAUGAAGUUGUUCAGAAAUUAAGGAGAGAUGCUUUUCCAGAUAAACAAAUGCUGAUUGAAUUCAUCACUAUCAGACUCAUCUUACAAUGCUACGGGAUUUGUUCAAACAGAAAGAAAAGAAUGCUAAUUAGUAAAAUAAAAUCAUAUGAAAGUAUCAAACCCAUUUAUAAAAUCAAGCACACAGAAAAAUUCAUGAUAAUCUCUAUGGUGAUGUGUAAGUCACUUCCGUCUUUAAUAUAAAUAUUUAAAGAAAAAGCUAUUCAAAUAACAAAAUUAAAAUAAUUUCUUAAAGGGUACACCAUAUAAAAUGUAAAUUAUGGAAAAAGAAGCAUAAAAUGGAAGGAGUAAAAUGAUUUUAUUUUUAAUAUGACAAAAUUAAAUUGUUAUCAGCUUAAGAUAGCCUGUUAUAAUGGUAAAAGAUCUUAUGUAAAUCUCAUGGUAAUCACACAGAGAAAACCUAUAGUAGACACACAAAAGGAAAAAACAUAAGAAAUCAAAGUGUAUCACUGUAGUAAACUACCUAAUGACAAAGAAAGGCAUCAAGAAAGGAAGAUAGAAUCUACAUAGCAACCAGAAGACAAUUAGCGAAAUGGCAACACUACCUCUUCAACCAUCAAUAAUCACAUUAAACGUAAAUUAAUUAAAUUGUCCAAUUAAAGGAAAUACAGAGCCUAAAAAGAAAACAAGCACAGGACUCAAUUAAGUGUUCCAUUUAUGAAACUGGACUUAACUUUCUGGAUGCACAUAGGUUGAAAAGAAAGGAUGGACAUGAAUAUUUCAUUCAAAUGACUUUAAGUGUAAAUAUUCACAGUAGACAAAGAAUGCCAUAAUUUAAUGAUAAAGGGAUCAAUUAAUCAAGAACAUAACAAUUACAAAGGAACAUCUACAUGUAUAAAGCAAAUAUUAAAGGACACCAAGGGAAAAACAGCAGUAUAAUAAUGUUAGAAAAACCUCAUUAUCUCUUUUUUAUCAAUGGUAGAUCAAAUAGGCAGAAAAAUACAAGGAAAUACUAGAUUUCAAUUGAAAUUUUGACCAAAUCAUCCUAACAGAUGUCUUUGGAACAUUCUAUCCACCAUUGAUAGAAUGCACAUUUUUUUUCUUCUCCAUUAUAGACCACAAAACAAGUUUUAGAAAGUUUAAGUAUCAAAAUUCAUCUAGUUGAAUUUUGGAUCACAACGAUCUGAAAAUACAAAUCAG